AACGAACGCUGGCGGCAGGCUUAACACAUGCAAGUCGAGCGCCUCGCAAGAGGAGCGGCAGACGGGUGAGUAACACGUGGGAAUCUACCCAUCCCUACGGAACAACUCCGGGAAACUGGAGCUAAUACCGUAUACGCCCUUCGGGGAAAGAUUUAUCGGGGAUGGAUGAGCCCGCGUUGGAUUAGCUAGUUGGUGGGGUA
rnacentral:rRNA from 1 species